rnacentral:misc_RNA from 1 species
GUGGGGUGUUGAUAUUAAUACAACUGUAAAUUAAUUAAUCUAAUUUCAAUAUUUUCAAAUGCAAUUUAUGCUGAAGAGUCUUUAGCACGAACUGUGUGAGUGGCACUAACAAUCUGCGAAAGGGAUGUAUUAAUAUCUCAUAUCGAUUUGAGAUAGGAUAAUGUGCUCUUCAUAAGGCCUCGGACGCUCCUCACCCCUUGAGUUAGCUUUGGAGGUGAGUGAAGUCCAGUCCAUUUUUCUUAAGAUAGUACCAAUGUUUGGGCUUCCCAUAAAUGUUUUAUGCUCCUAGUGUUAAUUCUGGAUGUGAGGGGGAGGGGGUGUGUUAAUAUCCCACAU